rnacentral:rRNA from 1 species
GGCCUUGACAUACUAAGAACUUUCCAGAGAUGGAUUGGUGCCUUCGGGAACUUAGAUACAGGUGCUGCAUGGCUGUCGUCAGCUCGUGUCGUGAGAUGUUGGGUUAACGUCCGCAACGAGCGCAACCCUUUUCCUUAUUUGCCAGCGGGUAAUGCCGGGAACUUUAAGGAUACUGCCAGUGACAAACUGGAGGAAGGCGGGGACGACGUCAAGUCAUCAUGGCCCUUACGGCCAGGGCUACACACGUGCUACAAUGGUCGGUACAAAGGGUUGCUACCUCGCGAGAGGAUGCUAAUCUCAAAAAGCCGAUCGUAGUCCGGAUCGCAGUCUGCAACUCGACUGUGUGAAGUCGGAAUCGCUAGUAAUCGCGGAUCAGAAUGCCGCGGUGAAUACGUUCCCGGGCCUUGUACACACCGCCCGUCACACCAUGGGAGUUUGUUGCACCAGAAGUAGGUAGUCUAACCGCAAGGAGGACGCUUACCACGGUGUGGCCGAUGACUGGGGUGAAGUCGUAACAAGGUAAGCGUAGAUGA